GGUACCGCCGGAGCAAAUAGUAGAUACGGUUUUAUUAUUCCACUUACCUCAUCAUCGUAUGGUGUCGUUACGCUUCUUGACCUGGCACUUUUUGGGUAAAAAGAUUCAGUCCGAAACUCACGAUUCGACCGAGGAUUCGCGAGCAGCCUUAGAAUUGUAUCGUAAGUACAAAGAACUGGAAAGCUGUGGCACUUUGAGGGAAACGCUUAAGGAGCUUUACGAAGCGGGCACUCAGUUACAGUGGAAAGUUCCCGAUAGCUGAUAUGAGGAUAACACGUAUAAGGAUAUAGAUGAUCGAAUUAAUAGCGAUAAUGACAAUUAGAUGAUAAUACAAAUGUUCAUGUGUCCAUUGUCCAAUAUCACUGUUUGGAAGGUAACACUCUACAGGUGCUGUUCGCGUUGGUUGAUAAAAAAUGUCGAUAUUUAGUCCAAUUCUGAAGACAGGGUUAUAUAUUCGUGAUCCACAGGGAAAGAUUUAUUGAACGCACACGUAAUAUUAUUAGAGGAAAUUUUAAGGUUGCGUGCACCGUGAUAUCGUGAAACUGAAAGAAUCGCAGAUACCAAAACAUUGAUACUCGUUUAGGAUUCUUUUCGUUUUUACUCGUAUGUUAGAUCAUUGUUACAACCGUUUACUAAAUGUAUGGUGUAUACAUACAUGUACUUUUUAUUCAGCGAUAAUGCGUAAAAUCGCAGAUCAUUAUCCGUCUUAUCGAUAGCCCAUUAGAAAGAUUGAAUGAAACGAAACAAAUUGUUGAGCGCGAUUUUAAAUAGGAAUACCAUUUUAAAUACGACGCGAAUUUGUAUAUAUUGUCUAAUAUAACAUUGGCGUUUUGAAGAGUAAUGAUUCCGCAAUGCCCGACGGAUAUCAAUAUUCACUAUAAUUUCUUAUCGUUUGUACUGUAUCCCGUAUGAAAAAGAUAAUGUAUUCCAUUCCGAUCCAUCAAACAAUUGCCGGGUAUAGACGUAAAUAGUACAAUAGCAAUAACUGAAUUACGUAUUCGUAAAUGUACAAUAUUUCAAUGUUUCCUUUUAUACGUAUAUCUCUAGCGUAUAAACUUUUGUACGAUUUUAUAGAGCGGGGUUUCAUGCAAUUUUUUUUUUAUAAGGUAUUUGUUUUAUCUUAUAGUGGGGAGAUACACUGCAAGUUUUCUCGAGCACAUACAUAUACACAUACAUACAUGUAAUCACAAAUUGUUAAACAUCAGUCAUAUUUGCAGUUACAUUUAUGACAAUUAUUCAUCGUUCACUCCAAUCCAUUUGUGCGAAGCUCUUGAAACGCGAGAAAAACUAUUAACGAAGGUGGUAGAAUAUUUUACAAACUGACAAUUGUACUCUCAUUAUAGAUUAUUUUUAUACAAAUUUUAUCAACGAAAAUAUGGGAGGGGGGAUACUAUCCAAAUCUAUUACAAAAAAAGACGAGAUUAAUGAAACAUAUAUUUUUUUAUAUCCCGAAUUUUCUUAUAAUUUGUGCACGAUAAGUUAUAGGCUGGUUUCAAUAGAAACAGUCAAUGCGAUCAAUUAAUAUACAGUACAGAGUACAGACAGUACACACGAUGUUGAGAUGGUAAUUAAACGUUUCUUUUACCAAUCGCUCUGUUACAUCAUUGUAAUUUUUCAAUAAAUAGUUGUACAAAUUCA